CAUACCAAUUGUUGCCUCGGCGGAUCAGCCCGCUCCCGGUAAAACGGGACGGCCCGCCAGAGGACCCCUAAACUCUGUUUCUAUAUGUAACUUCUGAGUAAAACCAUAAAUAAAUCAAAACUUUCAACAACGGAUCUCUUGGUUCUGGCAUCGAUGAAGAACGCAGCAAAAUGCGAUAAGUAAUGUGAAUUGCAGAAUUCAGUGAAUCAUCGAAUCUUUGAACGCACAUUGCGCCCGCCAGUAUUCUGGCGGGCAUGCCUGUUCGAGCGUCAUUUCAACCCUCAAGCCCCCGGGUUUGGUGUUGGGGAUCGGCGAGCCCUUGCGGCAAGCCGGCCCCGAAAUCUAGUGGCGGUCUCGCUGCAGCUUCCAUUGCGUAGUAGUAAAACCCUCGCAACUGGUACGCGGCGCGGCCAAGCCGUUAAACCCCCAACUUCUGAAUGUUGACCUCGGAUCAGGUAGGAAUACCCGCUGAACUUAAGCAUAUC
rnacentral:rRNA from 1 species